GCUGUGAGGGGGAAGGGCAGGGGUUAGUGAGCUAGAAAUGAAGGAAGAAGGAGUGAAAGAGCCAGAGCUGUGUGGAGUGACUCAUGGAACUGCAACAUAGCACAGGCCACAGAAUGAGAGGUUCCCUGACUAGUGAUCAAGUAUGUGGUCCCAGGAGCAGCAGAGGCACUGUGAAGUAGCCUUCCUCAGCAAAGCACUGAAGCAGGACUCGUGCUAAACCAGAGUACUACAGCAUCUACAGCAUUGGGACUCAAGUUUGCGGUAACCUAAGAGUGGACCAAUAAAUUGUCCAUACAGGAGA